UGGGGAAUAUUGCACAAUGGGCGAAAGCCUGAUGCAGCAACGCCGCGUGAGCGAUGAAGGCCUUUGGGUCGUAAAGCUCUGUCCUUGGGGAAGAAAAAAAUGACGGUACCCUUGGAGGAAGCACCGGCUAACUCCGUGCCAGCAGCCGCGGUAAGACGGAGAGUGCAAGCGUUGUUCGGAAUUACUGGGCGUAAAGAGCGUGUAGGCGGUCUGAUAAGUCGAGUGUGAAAGCCCGAGGCUCAACUUCGGAAGUGCACUCGAAACUGUCAGGCUUGAGUACGGGAGAGGGAAGUGGAAUUCCUGGUGUAGAGGUGAAAUUCGUAGAUAUCAGGAGGAACACCGGUGGCGAAGGCGGCUUCCUGGACCGAUACUGACGCUGAGACGCGAAAGCGUGGGGAGCAAACA
rnacentral:rRNA from 1 species